rnacentral:misc_RNA from 1 species
GGCAUCGAACUGCUUCCCUCACUUUCGAUCAGUUGUUGCUCCACGAGAUAAACGUUGGACGCAAGACAUGGGUUCCUGUGUUGCAUACCUAUUGCGACGGAAAUGUGUGCCUUCGAUCGUCCCUUCCAUCACGGCGUCCUCACGGAUGCUCGGUUGGACCGGAUAGUGGGGCUCGUGUUCCACGAACGUCGUCUCAUUCGAUCGUUCGGAUGGACCACGGGUGCCUACUCGUUCUCUCGGAUGCGGAACUCUCUUAAUGGGCGUGGGGUCAUUGGCCCUUGGUCCCUAAUCGUUAAGCGUUUAUCGCUUCACCGGAAUGACGAUCUCGCCUUGUCCUUGACCACGCGAAGCCCUCGGGCAUCGCGACGGAUCAUGCUCGGCGGACGUCGUGAAGGAAUGC